AUCCUGCCUGGAGCCCAGACCUAGUCAGCUCCUGCCCCGUUCUCCUAAGGGCUUCUCCAGCCGUCUGGGAGUGGGCCAUGCAGUCUUGAGGCUGACCCCUGUAUGGUAAGGGUCCCAACCAGGGCAGGACAGCCUGGUGUGCAGGGCCCAUGGUGGCUGUGGAAGGUACUGGGGCAGGAGCUGCAGAGGGGGCAGCUGCUAAACAGUCCUUUCCCCUUUCUCUACCCGUGGGGAGACCCCAGACAUCCUGGCAGUCCUGCCAGCUGGUGUGGAUGAUACUGAAAAACUGUCACAUGCUGAUUCAGAUCACUGAGGAGCUGGCUCUGCAGACAGGAUUGGACCUGCCCGCUUCAGACCAAGUACAUUUGUCUUAGUGUCCUCCAAAGGCCCUGUCCUGCUGCCCCGACUCUGUGACAGGAAAAAGGAGAACAACAGAACAGCCUGGGGAGUUGGGGGGGGGGAGCACUGUGCAUUUGAGAACAGCUACAAGGCUACUGUUGCUCAUUUCAUGUUAUAAAGAUGCCUAUAACAAAACCAGCUAAUGAGAGGCUCAUACACAGAAAGGAUAAAAGGGGUCCCAUGCCUAAAAACUCUCAAUAAUAACUCCAGCGUAAUAGCCAAAUUCUGUGAGAUGCUGUCAACAUCAAUGAUGGCUGUGAUAACCAACCACAUGCUGCGUAAGUCAUAAAGCCUGUCUUAUGUUUUCUAUAAGGUUUAUCCAGAAACUUACAAGGCCAAUGGUUUAACAGUGCAUACGGAGGUAAUACUAAUGUAUCGCAUUACCCUAUGUUCAGAAUCUGGAUUCAGCCUUUUAUUAUUAAGAUGAUAUUGCCUAGAAAUCUCUAAGCUGCACAACUGCCAUCUUCCUAACUCCAGCUGUGCCUGCGCAAAAUAAUCACAACCGGGCUUAUUAAAUAUUAAUAUUCCUUUAGGAAAGGAGUAGGUAGGCAAGGUCACUGGACCCUCACCUGAGUGUCCUGUCACUAAUGUAAUUUAUCCCAAAACUGCACAAAGCCCCAAGGUUUUCUGGAAAAAGUAGGGUUUACAGGCUAGAAAAGUAAGAACAGAGGGGGUGUGUCAACCUAUGCAGCUGUGGGAAAGCUGCUACACAUACUGGGAAAAGGCCUCCAAAACAGAUAUUACCUAAGUUCCUACCCACUUCAGGGAAAACUUCUUAGAGCCAAUGGUUUUUUGUUAAUGUUAUUAUGCCUCAUGGUAUUUAUUUAUUUUUAAUUGUUUAAUCAAGGGGGCUUUAUAUGUAAAGGUUAAGAUGUAAUUACAGAUGUUUAGCUCUUUGAGUGACCCCAACCUCUUCUUGGCUCUUGCUCACAAAAAUGACCUCUCAUUCAAGGUCAUUGGUAUUGCUAAAUCUUACUGAGAAGUAAACUUUCUCUCUCCAGAUCAGUGAGACCUUAAAAAAAAUGUUAAAUUAUUUCAGAUGAGAUAAAUUAUGUAAAUAAAGAUAAAGACAAAACCAUAAAAGCUUGAAGUCAAGUCACAAAAGGUAUGAAUAUGCUGUACAGGGUUUAUUGGAGAUGAGAUUUAAGGUUAAAAUGUUUAAUGCUUAAAAUCUGUUAAUGUUCCCAAUGUUAUAAUGAUAUAUUUAUGUAAUAAAAACUGACUUGAAAA